rnacentral:rRNA from 1 species
UGGGGAAUAUUGCACAAUGGAGGGAACUCUGAUGCAGCGACGCCGCGUGAGUGAUGAAGGAAUUCGUUUCGUAAAACUCUGUUCUAUGGGAAGAAAAGGACUGUACCAUAGGAGAAAGCUCCGGCUAAAUACGUGCCAGCAGCCGCGGUAAUACGUAUGGAGCGAGCGUUGUCCGGAAUUAUUGGGCGUAAAGGGUGCGCAGGCGGCUUUACAAGUUGGAUGUGAAAUAUUGUGGCUCAACCACAAACGUGCAUCCAAAACUGCAAAGCUUGAGUUAAGGAGAGGUAAGUGGAAUUCCUGGUGUAGCGGUGGAAUGCGUAGAUAUCAGGAGGAAUACCGGUGGCGAAGGCGACUUACUGGACUUAAACUGACGCUCAGGCACGAAAACGUGGGGAGCAAACAGG